rnacentral:lncRNA from 1 species
GGAUGGGACCACUCAGUACUGUCCUCAAGAAACGGAUUUUCAGGUUUGACCUCUUUUUUUUUUUCUCCCCUCUUUCUCAGAAUAGCCGGGAUCUGUGUGUGUGUGUGUGUGUGUGUGUGUGUGUGUGUGUGUGUGUGUGUGUGUGUGUAGGGGGGGGCCAUUCUUUUAAAAUUGGUCAUUCCUUUUUCAGUAAACUUUUUCAAGACCCAAAGACUGGAGCAUGGGGCAUGGUGGCACAUUUUCAUAAGGCAUCAGGUAAGGGAGUCGGGGGGGGGGCAUUAGAGAAAAGAACAGAAGCAAGCACUCUUGACAACUUAUUUCUCCAAUGUUGGCAGACAGGUUUGCUCCCCACCAUUACAGAAAACCAUAAAGCUCAUUUGAAGAAGACUUGA